GUCCCUGCAGCGCAAUGGAUACCGUGCUGAACUUCUAAUCCAAAGGUCGUGGGUUCGAUUCCCACUUGGGAUU